rnacentral:misc_RNA from 1 species
GAUGAAGAACGCAGCGAAAUGCGAUACGUAAUGUGAAUUGCAGAAUUCCGUGAAUCAUCGAAUCUUUGAACGCACAUUGCGCCCGCCAGUAUUCUGGCGGGCAUGCCUGUCCGAGCGUCAUUUCAACCCUCGAACCCCUCCGGGGGGUCGGCGUUGGGGAUCGGCCCUGCCUCUUGGCGGUGGCCGUCUCCGAAAUACAGUGGCGGUCUCGCCGCAGCCUCUCCUGCGCAGUAGUUUGCACACUCGCAUCGGGAGCGCGGCGCGUCCACAGCCGUUAAACACCCAACUUCUGAAAUGUUGACCUCGGAUCAGGUAGGAAUACCCGCUGAACUUAAGCAUAUCAAUAAGCGGAGGA